rnacentral:rRNA from 1 species
GAUGAACGCUGGCGGCGUGCCUAAUACAUGCAAGUCGGGCGAACGGACGAGAAGCUUGCUUCUCUGAUGUUAGCGGCGGACGGGUGAGUAACACGUGGAUAACCUACCUAUAAGACUGGGAUAACUUCGGGAAACCGGAGCUAAUACCGGAUAAUCUUUUGAACCGCAUGGUUCAAAAGUGAAAGACGGUCUUGCUGUCACUUAUAGCUGGAUCCGCGCUGCAUUAGCUAGUUGGUAAGGUAACGGCUUACCAAGGCAACGAUGCAUAGCCGACCUGAGAGGGUGAUCGGCCACACUGGAACUGAGACACGGUCCAGACGCCUACGGGAGGCAGCAGUAGGGAAUCUUCCGCAAUGGGCGAAAGCCUGACGGAGCAACGCCGCGUGAGUGAUGAAGGUCCUCGGAUCGUAAAACUCUGUUAUUAGGGAAGAACAUAUGUGUAAGUAACUGUGCACAGCUUGACGGUACCUAAUCAGAAAGCCACGGCUAACUACGUG